AAUGAUCUUUUCCGCCCGACUUGACAGUAGUUCUUGUUCGGCUUUAGCUGAAACUUCAUGUGCCAAGCCCAUGACCGCUCUUAAAAGAUCAUGAGACGUUUUGGUCGGCGGACGGCACGAAAAGAAGAUAUGCACGGCUGCUUGAAAGUUAACCCGAGUUUAAGAGAAACGGUAAUCAAAAGUCGUCGGUUUCUUUCCCAUUGAGUGUCGAACCUAGCUAACGUUACUAGGACCGAACGAGAAACAACUUCUGCCCGAGUGGCCGCUGCUGGAGCGGGGAGACAACGACUGCUAUCUGCGCUCAAAGAAGCGUUAAAAAAAACAGCAGUUUAUUACAUUGUAAUAGACGUAGAGUAACGUUAGUAGUUAUUUAUUUUCGCCACAAUGUUCAGGCUUUGCCUACAGAGAGCUUUCCGACCGGUUGUACAGAAGUUACCAGCGGCGGUGACAGUGCCGAGACUGCCGGGGAUAGGGCGACACACACCGAGCUGCUGGAUGGGAACACAUGGGAGAAACGAGCCGAGGGAGACGCUCAACUCACCCAAGAGAGCCAAAGACUUUAUUUACCGCCUCCAGCCGACGGAGAGGACUUGUUUACUGAAGGAGCUGCAGAGUUUCGAGUCCAUAGCCGUCGCUCAAGAGACCCUGGAGCCCUCGCCGCCGACUGCAGCCCAGAUUAGAUAUGUUUUGUUCCACAACGGCAUCCCCUUUGUUGGAUUUGGUUUCCUUGAUAAUGCCAUCAUGAUCGCAGCAGGAACACAGAUUGAACUCUCCAUCGGAGUCACUCUGGGGAUCUCCACCAUGGCUGCUGCGGCGCUGGGGAACCUGGUUUCAGAUUUGGCAGGUCUCGGUCUUGCAGGUUACGUGGAGGCUCUGGCUUCCAAACUGGGGAUGCAGGGUCCAGAUCUGACGCCCGAACAGGUGCACAUGUGGCAGACCAAGUUCAGCUCUCACAUGGGCAAAGCCAUCGGAGUGACCAUUGGCUGUAUUUUGGGGAUGUUCCCGCUGUUUUUCCUGGACGACGAGAAGGAGAAGGAGAAAGAGGCACAACCCUGCAGUGACACCGCGUCUUCCUAACAAGCCACCACAGUCACACAACACCGUCACACCCACAGACUGGAUACUGCUGAUGUCAACUUUUCAAAGCGAAUGGCUGCUGUGAACGCUGCCUGAGUAGCUCCCAGGAUGUGAAGUGCUCACCUGUGUCAACACCUUCAGACAACCGCUAUAAAUUUGGAUUCAAGUACCAGCUGCAGCUGCUGAUUACAACAGGGUAUUAGACAAUUCUCUGCUUUCCCAAAGAGAAAGUGUGCCACCUGAGGGCAGAACAGAGAGGUCCAGGUGUGACCGGUGGUCGUUUCCCAUCCUGGCAGUAGAAACCCAAAGUAUAUACUGGAACACUAUUUCACAUUUUAAACAUUGUCCUUUUUAUUAUUAUUAUUAUUUUUUUUUUUUUUUUUUACUAAGAUCUGAUUUAUAUUUGGUUAUUUUUCUUCACCAGACACUUUAUACAUUUGAAGACUUCAUCUCCAAAACACUUAUUUGUCCAUUUUGGGUCAAAAAGUAAACAUGACUCAUUACUUGAGCUGAAACUGAGCAGACUUUUCAGUGACAAAUUACAGUCACUGCACUUAAGUAUCGGCGGUUUGGUUCUUGUGCACCUUUAAACUUAAAAAAAAAUAUUUAAAAGAAAAGUAACAGUGUCCGCUGCUACCUCGAUGGGAAUAUUUUUUCGAUGUUUUGCAUGAAGAACAGAUGUAGCUCUAUAGUCAGACCUUUUCUUUCCUUGUCAGAUGGUUUUUAAUAUGCUGGAAAGUCUUCAAAUGUUUUGCGCGAGUUGAAAGAGGCGCUCGGUGGCGAUACACACUACUUGGAAACCGAAGUCGCUAUUUUUUAAAGUUUGGGCCUUUACUGUACACUGAUGUUUGCUUUCAAAGGUCUUUUCUGCAUGUUUCUGUCCGCUCCAUCUUUUCUCCUCUCUCUCUCUCUCACUGACACUUGACUUGGAUCCAGCCGUCCGUGUAUUUAGUUUUUUUAAAGUUUUUUAAAGUUUUGCUUCAUCAGACUUGAAGCUCCAGAUGAUUGGGAGUUUCCAAAUAAGGCCGUGCCAUCACAAGUCAGUUCAGUAGUUUUCAGUGAUUUCUGUGACUCGACAUUUCUCUCUUAUUUUUUCUUUCCUUCGUUAAUUCUUUCUCUCUCUCUCUUUGUGCCUCUCUCUCACACACUCCGGCUCUUAGCACACGUAAUAACAAAGGUGCUUUUUGUACGUAUGAUAAAUCAAGGUGAUCCUUUUUCUCCUGUUCACUGCAACUGGCCCCAUCAGAUAUCACUCUCUAUUCACUACUUAUUUGAGUGUCCACAUUUUCAAGCUGCAGCAUACA